GACGAACGCUGGCGGCGUGCCUAAUACAUGCCAGUCGAACGCUGAAGGAGGAUCUUGCUCUUCUGGAUGAGUUGCGAACGGGUGAGUAACGCGUAGGUAACCUGCCUUGUAGCGGGGGAUAACUAUUCGAAACGAUAGCUAAUACCGCAUAAGAGUAUAUGUUGCAUGACAUUUGCUUAAAAGGUGCAAUUGUAUCAUUACCAGAUGGUCCUGCGGUGUAUUAGCUAGUUGGUGGGGUAACGGCUCACCAAGGCGACGAUACAUAGUCGGCCUGAGGGGGGGGUCGGCCACACUGAGACGGAGACACAGCCCAGACUCCUACGGGAGGGAGCAGGAGGGAAGCUUCGGCAAUGGACGGAAGGCAGACCGAGGAACGGAGGGUGAGUGAAGGAGGGUGUCGGAUCGGAAAGAUCCGUUGUAAGAGAAGGAAGAGGGUGAGAGUGGAAAGUGCACAGUGUGACGGUAUCUUAACAGAAAGCGACGGCUAACUACGUG
rnacentral:rRNA from 1 species